rnacentral:rRNA from 1 species
AUUGAACGCUGGCGGCAUGCUUUACACAUGCAAGUCGAACGGUAACAGGUUAAGCUGACGAGUGGCGAACGGGUGAGUAAUGCAUCGGAACGUGCCCGGUCGUGGGGGAUAACGCAGCGAAAGUUGCGCUAAUACCGCACACGAUCUAAGGAUGAAAGCGGGGGACCGUAAGGCCUGGCGUGAUCGGAGCGGCCGACGUCGGAUUAGGUAGUUGGGGGGGUAAAGGCUCACCAAGCCAAGGAUCUGUAGCUGGUCUGAGAGGACGACCAGCCACACUGGGACUGAGACACGGCCCAGACUCCUACGGGAGGCAGCAGUGGGGAAUUUUGGGCAAUGGGCGAAAGCCUGAUCCAGCAAUGCCGCGUGCAGGAAGAAGGCCUUCGGGUUGUAAACUGCUUUUGUACGGAGCGAAAAGGUCUCCUCUAAUACAGGGGGCUCAUGACGGUACCGUAAGAAUAAGCACCGGCUAACUACGUGCCAGCAGCCGCCGCAG